rnacentral:lncRNA from 1 species
GGGGAGGCAGGGGUAAAGGGAAAAGUGCUGUGUAUGGCUUUUCAUAUGUUAAUAAGUUGAUUCCAUGACAACCAUUGAAAAAAGAAGGGCUGGAGACAAAAGCUGCAGCCAGAGAGAGGAUCAGGGCUCUUUCAGGGACGAGGAGAGGACUGCAGGGGGAGAAAAUCAGAAUGAAGAAAAACAGCAAGAAAACCCUGCAUUUUCUGAACACAAACAUGAAAAUGAAAAGAUCCUGAAAAAAAGGUUCUGGAAUGGGGGCUCAGAGGACUGCAUUCUGUCCCAGGUAUCUUAAAUUGAUAUUGGUAACUGUACUGACUAGGGCACACUAACUAAGCACACUAACUAAGCACACUAACGAAU